ACAACAGGUGGAGCCUGCGGUUUAAUCGGACUCAAACGCCGGGAAACUCACCAGAUAAGACAGCUGAAUGAUAGUCGGGCUGAAGACUCUACUUGACUAGCUGAGAGGAGGUGCAUGGCCGUCGUCAGUUCGUACUGUGAAGCAUCCUGUUAAGUCAGGCAACGAGCGAGACCCACGCCAACAGUUGCCAGCUCGUCCUCCGGGAUGGUGGGGACACUGUUGGGACCGCCUCUGCUAAAGAGGAGGAAGGAAUGGGCAACGGUAGGUCAGCAUGCCCCGAAUUAUCUGGGCUACACGCGGGCUACAAUGGGUGGGACAAUGGGUAUCGACACCGAAAGGUGAAGGCAAUCUCCUAAACCCAUCCGUAGUUCGGAUUGUGGGCUGCAACUCGCCCACAUGAAGCUGGAAUCUGUAGUAAUCGUGUCUCAAAAUGGCACGGUGAAUAUGUCCCUGCUCCUU
rnacentral:rRNA from 1 species